CCUACGGGAGGCAGCAGUGGGGAAUUUUGGACAAUGGGGGCAACCCUGAUCCAGCCAUUCCGCGUGAGUGAAGAAGGCCUUCGGGUUGUAAAGCUCUUUCGCAAGGGAAGAAAACUUAUGAUCGAAUAAAUCAUGAGGUUGACGGUACCUUGAUAAGAAGCACCGGCUAACUACGUGCCAGCAGCCGCGGUAAUACGUAGGGUGCGAGCGUUAAUCGGAAUUACUGGGCGUAAAGCGUGCGCAGGCGGUUUUGUAAGUCGGAUGUGAAAUCCCCGGGCUCAACCUGGGAACUGCGUUCGAAACUGCAAGGCUAGAGUGUGUCAGAGGGGGGUAGAAUUCCACGUGUAGCAGUGAAAUGCGUAGAGAUGUGGAGGAAUACCAAUGGCGAAGGCAGCCCCCUGGGAUAACACUGACGCUCAUGCACGAAAGCGUGGGGAGCAAACAGGAUUAGAUACCCUGGUAGUCCACGCCCUAAACGAUGUCAACUAGUUGUUGGUAGAGUAAAAUCUAUGAGUAACGUAGCUAACGCGUGAAGUUGACCGCCUGGGGGAGGUACGGUCGCGAAGUAAGUUAAACUUACGAAAGUAAGUUAGAGGCGNGNGAGNGCGACGGACGACGACGAGGGAGGAGG
rnacentral:rRNA from 1 species